GAUGAACGCUGGCGGCGUGCUUAACACAUGCAAGUCGAACGGUGAAGGCGGAGCUUGCUCUGCUGGAUCAGUGGCGAACGGGUGAGUAACACGUGAGCAAUCUGCCCCUGACUCUGGGAUAAGCGCUGGAAACGGCGUCUAAUACUGGAUACGAGCUGCGAAGGCAUCUUCAGCAGCUGGAAAGAAUUUCGGUCAGGGAUGAGCUCGCGGCCUAUCAGCUUGUUGGUGAGGUAAUGGCUCACCAAGGCGUCGACGGGUAGCCGGCCUGAGAGGGUGACCGGCCACACUGGGACUGAGACACGGCCCAGACUCCUACGGGAGGCAGCAGUGGGGAAUAUCGCACAAUGGGCGAAAGCCUGAUGCAGCAACGCCGCGUGAGGGACGACGGCCCUCGGGUUGUAAACCUCUUUUAGCAGGGAAGAAGCGAAAGUGACGGUACCUGCAGAAAAAGCGCCGGCUAACUACGUG
rnacentral:rRNA from 1 species